UUAUAAAACUUCACAUGUUCACACCAAUCCACCACAACAGAGCCAACAAGGAGAGCAUUUAAGCGUUCACUCGCUAUGCUAGAAUAGUAGCUAUGUCUUGCUUAAAUAACAGGAUGACAUAACACAUUCAAUAGGUGCUCUUAGGUACCAGACGACUGGGGAGGAGAACAGGAUGGUCACCAUCAGAAAAACUUAUGAUCAACAAUCAGCUCGUUCAGGUCUGACCUGAAACUAAACAACAACCUCCACUUCGCCACACACAAUAUUGGAGGAGAGACGUAGAUAGGCCAUCAAAUCAACAUCAGUGCUCGACUGGUUAUUUAAUUUAUCGACCACAGAGGGUUGAACGAUAUGCUCGAAAUGGCAGCCAAACUGCCCUCAAGUCAUUCUCUAUUGUCUUUAAGAAAAGGGGGUCAGUGUAGGAAGGAUACACUGUACAGUGCAGUCCUAGACACAUUUCCAUAAAUUAAAAAAUAUAAUUCAGGAUGAUCACUACAGAAAUAUCUUUGAUCAUCGGACUGCUCAAUCAGGUUUGAUCAGAGGAUAACAACAAGAGCCAGAGCCAGAGCCAGAGCAAACGAGGGAGCCUCUACAUGGGCGCAUAACUGCUAGAAAUAGUAGCCAAAUCUUCUAAUCGUACUCUCUAAAAAAGGGUAAACGUUUUGGAUAAUGUCAUAUCUAAAAAUACCGGAAUAGUCAUGUGUGGAAUGUCUUUACUAUAGGUCUUCUUGAUGAAACCGAGGAGACAACAACUGGCCUAUCAACCAGAGAGAUGCAAAGCAGCAAAAACACCUUCGGUUUGAUGAGCAAGGAGGACAAUCUCAUGAAGAAUGUGUAAUUGCGACGUUCAGGUAUUUCUCCAUGGUGGCGCAAUGUCAAUAAUUUCUUCCCCUCCCUUCUUCAUAUCAGAACCAGCUCUAAUGGAGAAGCAAAAGAAUGUUGUGUGCUGUGACAUUCAUCUCUCUCCGUUCAAGAGCCGCUAGCGACUUAAGUAAAAUAAAAUAAUUACAUCUGGAGUUCAAAGUUGCUGUAAUUGCUGUUGUUUUAACCCCCAGAACACCCUUGCUUAACCAAAGGAAUUCCAUUCAUGACCAACCCAUCAAUUUUGAGGCACAGUGUAUCUGGGACAAUUAUGUCUUUCUUUUAAAAUGACGAAGGGACAACCCCGAAACAAGAUUACUUCCUUUUUACCCCCACGGUACACAAACUUAUUCAAGCACACAAGUUUCACUACUUUUGUAUAAGAACAAGAAAGCAUUAUUCACAACGUGAAUUUAACAGAAUAUGCCAUCAGGUAUGUCUAGCAUAUUAAAAUUAUACACACACAUAGCUUAAUAAGAAUUUAUAACGAUUAACUUUCUAUAAACAGACAAAAAUAUUCGACAUAUUUUCAAAUAUUUGAAGAGACGAGGAAGCAUGUUUCGAAGUUUGUUUUAAACAACGAAA